CAGCUUACUUCCUUGCCUGCAAACUGAGUUCAGACAGCAAAAGUGGUUUGCACACAACUCAGAAGAGAGAAGAGUGGACACCAUCUUGGCUCUUCCCAUGCUGAUACAUGUGAGCAACCGAACCCCGAGAGAUGCAGUUCCAGGAGGAGAAAAUAGUGUGUGAACAACAAGACCAGAAUGCUGCCUUGUCCUCCUUUGCCAUUGGGACAUCUGGUCACCCUGCUGGAAAACUCCUCUGCGAGGAAGAGGGCUUGCCACACAUCCUGCGGGGUGUUUUGAGUCCCUGCUUUUACAAUUUGCACUACAGGCAGAAAUUCAACAGGGAAAGAGUCCUUCUCGAUUCCUCUCCCCCCCCCCUCAGUUCCCCACAACUGGUCGAUCAGGGUUUACGAAGGGUCACUGAGCAGUGUAAGUGAAGUUCUGCACUUGAGCCAGUGUAAAGUUUUCCAAUAAACUUUAUGAUAUAGAGGAAGAUUUUAUGGUUCACAAGAUGUCUAACCAAUAACAAAGGUUCUGCAUCAUCUACUAUUAGCCAUUCUUCUACAGCCAUUUUAUCUUCUGAUUCAUGAUGAAAUGAUGCAGAAUGACACUAUUCACAUUGUCUGAAGCAAACAUAAAGAGAGAGAAAUUAAACCCUUCGUCAUUACUUGAACAGAUGGUAAUUGUAGGUACUUAAACUAAAAAGCAAACAUAAUUUAAUCACAUUUGAAAGAUAUUAAAAAUCAAGUUUAAUCUUUAAAUAUUGAUACUGAUUAAUAUAGGUUUAAUUAUAUGAUGUUAUUUGGUGCAUAUUAGAUUAUAGUUAAUGCAAUUCAAAACACUUCUGGUCCCAAGCAUUUCAGAUAAGGGAGAGUCAACUUGUAAUAUUUGUAAUAUGCCACUAAAGAUUUACCAAUUGUUUAAGUGGGAAUUGUCUAUUUAAAAUGGGAAGUUCUGAGAAAUACUGUAACAUGUAUAAAGAGGCAGAAAAAGGUUGGACUUACAUACAGUAUUUUGUUGUCCUUUACUUGUAAAGUGCCAUAUAUACUGAUGGAACUAUGUAAGUAAAUUAUGAUAAUGAUGAUACACAUUUUUCACAUUAAUAUUCAAUAUUACAUUCCCUAAAAACAAUAAGCAGAACACACCCUACUUUAAAAAUUGUUAAAUAUAUUUUAAAUUUAAUAAAUUUUGCUAGCAGGUGUUUAACUGUGGUUUCCUGCAAUUUUCCUCAACCUCAGCUCCUCCAGAAGUGAAUCUUUCUGUUAUUGAGCU